UACGGAGGGUGCAAGCGUUGCUCGGAAUCACUGGGCGUAAAGGGCGCGUAGGCGGGCAGUCAAGUCGGUCGUGAAAUCUCCGGGCUCAACCCGGAGGAGUCGGCCGAAACUGGUUGUCUUGAGGGAGGCAGAGGAGUCUGGAAUUCCCGGUGUAGCGGUGAAAUGUGUAGAGAUCGGGAGGAACACCGGUGGCGAAGGCGGGACUCUGGGCCUACCCUGACGCUGAGGCGCGAAGGCGUGGGAGCAAACGGG
rnacentral:rRNA from 1 species